UCGUUUUGCAAGAAGUGAAUUUUGAAUAGAGAUGCUGAAGGUGCUGAUGAUGCUUCCUCUCUAGAAAAACGAAGCGACAUUAUGUCUGGUGGUGUAUCUGGAGUUGCAGGUGAUGGAGACCCUGGAUAUGUUCUAUCUUCAAGAAGAUAUGCUAUACACAUAGCAAGACAUCACUCUCAUGAUCAUUCCGGCGGACACCACGGAAAGUAACAUGGAACAUGAUGCUUCAGGUAAAGCGAAGUCCCCAGCUUUUUGAAAUAUAAUUGAGUCAUUUGAAAAUCUUUACCAGGAUAUUUUAACAUCAACGGACUGAAACCUGUAGCCAAUAUAUGUUGAAAUAAAAUAUGAAAGCACAUCAAA